GGUUAAGCGACUAAGCGUACACGGUGGAUGCCCUGGCAGUCAGAGGCGAUGAAGGACGUGCUAAUCUGCGAUAAGCGUCGGUAAGGUGAUAUGAACCGUUAUAACCGGCGAUUUCCGAAUGGGGAAACCCAGUGUGAUUCGUCACACUAUCAUUAACUGAAUCCAUAGGUUAAUGAGGCGAACCGGGGGAACUGAAACAUCUAAGUACCCCGAGGAAAAGAAAUCAACCGAGAUUCCCCCAGUAGCGGCGAGCGAACGGGGAGGAGCCCAGAGCCUGAAUCAGUGUGUGUGUUAGUGGAAGCGUCUGGAAAGGCGCGCGAUACAGGGUGACAGCCCCGUACACAAAAAUGCACAUGCUGUGAGCUCGAUGAGUAGGGCGGGACACGUGGUAUCCUGUCUGAAUAUGGGGGGACCAUCCUCCAAGGCUAAAUACUCCUGACUGACCGAUAGUGAACCAGUACCGUGAGGGAAAGGCGAAAAGAACCCCGGCGAGGGGAGUGAAAAAGAACCUGAAACCGUGUACGUACAAGCAGUGGGAGCACAGAGCAAUCUGUGUGACUGCGUACCUUUUGUAUAAUGGGUCAGCGACUUAUAUUCUGUAGCAAGGUUAACCGAAUAGGGGAGCCGAAGGGAAACCGAGUCUUAACUGGGCGUUAAGUUGCAGGGUAUAGACCCGAAACCCGGUGAUCUAGCCAUGGGCAGGUUGAAGGUUGGGUAACACUAACUGGAGGACCGAACCGACUAAUGUUGAAAAAUUAGCGGAUGACUUGUGGCUGGGGGUGAAAGGCCAAUCAAACCGGGAGAUAGCUGGUUCUCCCCGAAAGCUAUUUAGGUAGCGCCUCGUGAAUUCAUCUCCGGGGGUAGAGCACUGUUUCGGCAAGGGGGUCAUCCCGACUUACCAACCCGAUGCAAACUGCGAAUACCGGAGAAUGUUAUCACGGGAGACACACGGCGGGUGCUAACGUCCGUCGUGAAGAGGGAAACAACCCAGACCGCCAGCUAAGGUCCCAAAGUCAUGGUUAAGUGGGAAACGAUGUGGGAAGGCCCAGACAGCCAGGAUGUUGGCUUAGAAGCAGCCAUCAUUUAAAGAAAGCGUAAUAGCUCACUGGUCGAGUCGGCCUGCGCGGAAGAUGUAACGGGGCUAAACCAUGCACCGAAGCUGCGGCAGCGACACUGUGUGUUGUUGGGUAGGGGAGCGUUCUGUAAGCCUGUGAAGGUGUGCUGUGAGGCAUGCUGGAGGUAUCAGAAGUGCGAAUGCUGACAUAAGUAACGAUAAAGCGGGUGAAAAGCCCGCUCGCCGGAAGACCAAGGGUUCCUGUCCAACGUUAAUCGGGGCAGGGUGAGUCGACCCCUAAGGCGAGGCCGAAAGGCGUAGUCGAUGGGAAACAGGUUAAUAUUCCUGUACUUGGUGUUACUGCGAAGGGGGGACGGAGAAGGCUAUGUUGGCCGGGCGACGGUUGUCCCGGUUUAAGCGUGUAGGCUGGUUUUCCAGGCAAAUCCGGAAAAUCAAGGCUGAGGCGUGAUGACGAGGCACUACGGUGCUGAAGCAACAAAUGCCCUGCUUCCAGGAAAAGCCUCUAAGCAUCAGGUAACAUCAAAUCGUACCCCAAACCGACACAGGUGGUCAGGUAGAGAAUACCAAGGCGCUUGAGAGAACUCGGGUGAAGGAACUAGGCAAAAUGGUGCCGUAACUUCGGGAGAAGGCACGCUGAUAUGUAGGUGAAGUCCCUCGCGGAUGGAGCUGAAAUCAGUCGAAGAUACCAGCUGGCUGCAACUGUUUAUUAAAAACACAGCACUGUGCAAACACGAAAGUGGACGUAUACGGUGUGACGCCUGCCCGGUGCCGGAAGGUUAAUUGAUGGGGUCAGCGCAAGCGAAGCUCUUGAUCGAAGCCCCGGUAAACGGCGGCCGUAACUAUAACGGUCCUAAGGUAGCGAAAUUCCUUGUCGGGUAAGUUCCGACCUGCACGAAUGGCGUAAUGAUGGCCAGGCUGUCUCCACCCGAGACUCAGUGAAAUUGAACUCGCUGUGAAGAUGCAGUGUACCCGCGGCAAGACGGAAAGACCCCGUGAACCUUUACUAUAGCUUGACACUGAACAUUGAGCCUUGAUGUGUAGGAUAGGUGGGAGGCUUUGAAGUGUGGACGCCAGUCUGCAUGGAGCCGACCUUGAAAUACCACCCUUUAAUGUUUGAUGUUCUAACGUGGACCCGUGAUCCGGGUUGCGGACAGUGUCUGGUGGGUAGUUUGACUGGGGCGGUCUCCUCCUAAAGAGUAACGGAGGAGCACGAAGGUUGGCUAAUCCUGGUCGGACAUCAGGAGGUUAGUGCAAUGGCAUAAGCCAGCUUGACUGCGAGCGUGACGGCGCGAGCAGGUGCGAAAGCAGGUCAUAGUGAUCCGGUGGUUCUGAAUGGAAGGGCCAUCGCUCAACGGAUAAAAGGUACUCCGGGGAUAACAGGCUGAUACCGCCCAAGAGUUCAUAUCGACGGCGGUGUUUGGCACCUCGAUGUCGGCUCAUCACAUCCUGGGGCUGAAGUAGGUCCCAAGGGUAUGGCUGUUCGCCAUUUAAAGUGGUACGCGAGCUGGGUUUAGAACGUCGUGAGACAGUUCGGUCCCUAUCUGCCGUGGGCGCUGGAGAACUGAGGGGGGCUGCUCCUAGUACGAGAGGACCGGAGUGGACGCAUCACUGGUGUUCGGGUUGUCAUGCCAAUGGCACUGCCCGGUAGCUAAAUGCGGAAGAGAUAAGUGCUGAAAGCAUCUAAGCACGAAACUUGCCCCGAGAUGAGUUCUCCCUGCCCUUUAAGGGUCCUGAAGGAACGUUGAAGACGACGACGUUGAUAGGCCGGGUGUGUAAGCGCAGCGAUGCGUUGAGCUAACCGGUACUAAUGAACCGUGAGGCUUAACCUUACAACGCCGAAGGUGUUUUG
rnacentral:rRNA from 1 species